AGGUUGAAUUCAAAUUCUUUUUGGAUGGUAGCUUUUUGAUGCCCUGCCAUCUGCUAACUUUCUGAAGGGAAGUUGUUACUUAGAUAUUGUAGAGCAACCACAUUUGAGUUAAAGCCUCGGUUGGAAACCUAGUAUAUCAAUUUUUAUGUUAGCAAUAUCAGUGCAACCUCAUUCAACAUGCACAUCCUGUGAUGUUUGGUCUGUCUCUUCCUCGUUUCUCACAUUACUUUUCCUCCCAUCAAACACCAUCGCAUUUCUCCCCUCUUUCUUCUUUUUCUUCUCCUCUUUUAUUUUUUUUUUCUCGUAAAAUAUGUAAAUUUUUAAUCCCAAAGCUGGGUUUUCGAUCUAUCGGAUAUUUUCAAUUUUGUUUUCUGUUUUUGGUUUGCAGUUUCUAUUUGCAUUUGAUUUUUCUGGUCAAUGCAGCUUCAUUUUUGUUCAAAUUAGGGUUUUCUUUCCUAAUUUGUGAUUGAAAAUUUUGGGAUUCUUUUUUAUAUCAAUUUUAAAGCAUGUGAUUUGAAAGAUCUCUUUUUUCCUUUCUUAAUCCUUUUAAUUAUAAAGGAGGAAGAAUCCCAUUUUUUUUUUUUCCCUUUUGAAAUUAAAUUGGAUUUUGGAUUACUUAGAUUCCUAUUAUCAGUCGGUUUUUCCCUAUUUCAACUCUAAUUAAUGCGUAUGCUGUAAAAAGUUCAGCCCUUUUUUCGUCUAGGACAAAAAAUAAAAGAAUCUGUGAACCGGUCAAUUUGGGAAAUCUGCUGGUUUUGGGUGUCAAUGCUGGUUGUGUAGAGGGUUAUGCAUAAGGAAAAGCUAAUUGGUCGCAAAUCUAAGUAAAUAUAGCCAUUUUCUGCUUCUGGGUUGAGUUGUUUAGCAAUGGAGAAAUCGAAGAUUGACCAUAUUGUUGGUGGCAAGUUUAAGCUGGGAAGGAAGAUUGGUAGUGGAUCUUUUGGGGAGCUCUAUCUGGGUGUAAAUGUGCAAACUGGAGAAGAGGUCGCUGUUAAACUGGAAUCUGUGAAGACCAAACAUCCUCAGCUUCACUAUGAGUCAAAGUUAUAUAUGCUUCUUCAAGGAGGGAGUAAGCCCUACCUGUCUUCCUCUCUCUUUCUCACACUCACACACAUCCAAAAACACUCAUAAAAUGUUCUGGAAGUGUAGGAUGGAAAUUUAUGAGAGAACAUUAUAUUUUUUGUUUAGAUGCUGUUUUCUGAUUUUAAUUUUUAAGACAGUAACUCCAUGUUGAGGUUAAUGUGCCAUGAUAUUCUUUAGAAGUUCCUUUAAAACACACAAGGGGGAACAUGGUCUGUAAGCAUAAUUUUUUCUCAUAAAUAAUUUCAUCUUAUUUUCCGUGAUGAAGCUGGAAUUCCACAUCUAAAAUGGUUUGGAGUUGAGGCUGACUACAAUGUCAUGAUUAUUGACCUUCUUGGACCUAGUUUGGAAGAUUUAUUCAACUAUUGCAACAGGAAAUUUACAUUGAAAACGGUUUUGAUGCUUGCAGAUCAACUUAUUAACAGGGUUGAAUACAUGCAUUCUAGAGGUUUUCUUCACCGUGAUAUAAAGCCUGACAACUUUUUAAUGGGCCUAGGUCGCAAAGCAAAUCAGGUGUAUGUCAUUGAUUUUGGCCUUGCAAAGAAGUAUAGGGAUCUUCAGACUCACAAACACAUCCCAUACAGAGAAAACAAGAACCUCACAGGCACAGCUCGCUAUGCAAGUGUCAACACUCAUCUUGGAGUUGGUGAGUGAUGUUACGUGUGAUGAUGUCUUUCCAACUAUUAACAGGACAUUAGCUAUCAUAUAUUUUAGAUUUAUUAUUUGCCUAUUUUGCUGGUAGAACAAAGCAGACGGGAUGAUUUGGAGUCUCUUGGUUAUGUGCUUAUGUAUUUCCUAAGAGGAAGGUAAGAGUAUAUACUAUAUAGCAGCUAUGCAUUUAAUUCACUUCUCUCAUUGCUUUUCUUUUUCUGGCUGAGCAUUUUCUAUGCAAUGUCAAAUAGUUCAUUUAGCAUUUUGCCUAAUUCUUUUUGCAUCAGUCUUCCCUGGCAGGGAUUAAAGGCUGGCACAAAAAAGCAAAAAUAUGACAAGAUCAGUGAAAAGAAAGUUUCAACUCCCAUAGAGGUGCUUUGUAAAUCGUACCCAUCUGAGUUCGUAUCAUUUUUCCAUUACUGCCGAUCAUUGCGGUUUGAAGACAAACCAGACUAUUCAUAUUUGAAGAGGCUAUUUCGAGAUUUAUUUAUUCGAGAAGGUUAUCAGUUUGACUAUAUCUUUGACUGGACUAUAUUAAAGUAUCCUCAGCUUGGUUCCAGUUCCAGACAACUGGUCGGCUCUUGCUAGUUUUUUAUUGUGAAUUUCUUCUUUGCCUUGUAUUUUGUAUUCAUUAUUCUGUUUCUUCUUUCUUUUUCAGCAGUCUAGUGGGAAAGCUGGUAUAAAACUACAACAAUCUGUCGAACAAACAGAGAAGGCUCCAGUGGUAGGACAAGAGAAUCGUGAUAGAUCUUCAGGUGCACUUGAAGCAUUCAGUAGAAGACUUGC
rnacentral:misc_RNA from 1 species